UACGAAGGGGGCUAGCGUUGUUCGGAUUUACUGGGCGUAAAGGGCGCGUAGGCGGUAGCACAAGUCAGUUGUGAAAUCUCCGGGCUUAACUCGGAAAGGUCAACUGAUACUGUGCGACUAGAGUGCAGAAGGGGCAACUGGAAUUCUCGGUGUAGCGGUGAAAUGCGUAGAUAUCGAGAGGAACACCUGCGGCGAAGGCGGGUUGCUGGGCUGACACUGACGCUGAGGCGCGAAAGCCAGGGGAGCGAACGGG
rnacentral:rRNA from 1 species